GUUUGGGAGGAGUUUACGAACUCCGAGUGGUGAAGGAUAGUGCCAAGAAAAGCUGGCUAUGUGAUGAAGAUAGAACACCCGUACCCGAAACCGACACAGGUAGGGAGGUUGAGAAUACCAAGGGGCGCGAGAUAACUCUCUCUAAGGAACUCGGCAAAAUGGCCCCGUAACUUCGGGAGAAGGGGUGCCCACCUCAGACGUGGGUCGCAGUGAAGAGAUCCAGGCGACUGUUUACCAAAAACACAGGUCUCCGCCAACUCGCAAGAGGACGUAUGGGGGCUGACGCCUGCCCAGUGCCGGAAGGUUAAGGAAGCUGGUCAGCGAAAGUAAAGCUGGCGACUGAAGCCCUGGUGAACGGCGGCCGUAACUAUAACGGUCCUAAGGUAGCGAAAUUCCUUGUCGGGUAAGUUCCGACCCGCACGAAAGGCGUAACGAUCUGGAUGGUGUCUCAGAGAGAGACUCGGCGAAAUAGGAAUGUCUGUGAAGAUACGGACUGCCUGCACCUGGACAGAAAGACCCUAUGAAGCUUUACUGUAGCCUGGAAUUGUGUUCGGGCUUCGCUUGCGCAGGAUAGGUGGGAAGCGGUGAACUAUUCCUUUUGGGGAAUAGGGAGCUAACGGUGAGAUACCACUCUGGCGAAGCUAGAAUUCUAACCCACGACCGUCAGCCGGUUGGGGAACAGUUUCAGGUGGGCAGUUUGACUGGGGCGGUCGCCUCCUAAAAAGUAACGGAGGCGCGCAAAGGUUCCCUCAGCACGCUUGGAAACCGUGCGACGAGUGUAAAAGCAAAAGGGAGCUUGACUGCAAGACUGACAAGUCGAGCAGGUACGAAAGUAGGCUUUAGUGAUCCGACGGCGCAGAGUGGAAUGGCCGUCGCUCAACGGAUAAAAGUUACUCUAGGGAUGACAGGCUGAUCUCCCCCAAGAGUCCACAUCGACGGGGAGGUUUGGCACCUCGAUGUCGGCUCAUCGCAACCUGGGGCGGAAGUACGUCCCAAGGGUUGGGCUGUUCGCCCAUUAAAGCGGUACGUGAGCUGGGUUCAGAACGUCGUGAGACAGUUCGGUCCAUAUCCGGUGCAGGCGCAAGAGUAUUGAGAGGAGUCCUCCUUAGUACGAGAGGACCGGGAGGAACGCACCGCUGGUGUACCAGUUAUUGUACCAACAGUAAACGCUGGGUAGCCAAGUGCGGAGAGGAUAACCGCUGAAAGCAUCUAAGUGGGAAGCCCACCUCAAGAUGAGUACUCUCACUACAAAAAGUAGGUAAGGUCACGGGCAGAACACCCGUUGAUAGGCUCUAAGUGGAAGUGCAGUAAUGUAUGAAGCUGAGGGGUACUAAUAGACCGAGGGCUUGAC
rnacentral:rRNA from 1 species